rnacentral:sRNA from 1 species
UACGUAAAAACACUUAGUUUAGUUCUAGC